UAAGGUGUUACUGGAGGCCAUCAUGGGUUGAAGAUUGAGAUAAGGUGUUACUAGAGGCCAUCAUGGGUUGAAGAUUGAGAUAAGGUGUUACUGGAGGCCGUCAUGGGUUGAAGAUUGAGAUAAGGUGUUACUAGAGGCCGUCAUGGGUUGAAGAUUGAGAUAAGGUGUUACUGGAGGCCAUCAUGGGUUGAAGAUUGAGAUAAGGUGUUACUGGAGGCCGUCAUGGGUUG